UACAGAGGGUGCGAGCGUUAAUCGGAAUUACUGGGCGUAAAGCGUGCGUAGACGGUUAUUUAAGUCGGAUGUGAAAGCCCCGGGCUCAACCUGGGAAUUGCAUUCGAGACUGAAUAGCUAGGGUGCGGUAGAGGGAAGCGGAAUUUCCGGUGUAGCGGUGAAAUGCGUAGAUAUGCGGAGGAACACCGAUGGCGAAGGCAAUCCCCUGGGCCUGCACUGACGCUCAUGCACGAAAGCGUGGGGAGCAAACAGG
rnacentral:rRNA from 1 species